rnacentral:rRNA from 1 species
AGUGGCGAACGGGUGAGUAACGCGUUGGUGACCUGCCCCAAAGUGUGGAAUAACAGUCCGAAAGGAUUGCUAAUACCGCAUGUGGUUAUCGGAUUUAGAAACUGAUAACUAAAGGAGUAAUCCGCUUUGGGAGGGACCUGCGUCCCAUCAGCUAGUUGGUGAGGUAAUGGCUCACCAAGGCUACGACGGGUAGGGGACCUGAGAGGGUGACCCCCCACAAUGGAACUGAAACACGGUCCAUACACCUACGGGUGGCAGCAGUAGGGAAUAUUGCACAAUGGGCGAAAGCCUGAUGCAGCAACGCCGCGUGUGCGAUGAAGGCCUUCGGGUCGUAAAGCACUUUUCUGAGGGAUGAGCAAGGACAGUACCUCAGGAAUAAGUCUCGGCUAACUACGUGCCAGCAGCCGCGGUAAAACGUAGGAGGCAAGCGUUAUCCGGAUUCACUGGGCGUAAAGCGCGUGCAGGCGGUUCGGUAAGUUGGGCGUGAAAUCUCCUGGCUUAACUAGGAGAGGUCGUUCAAUACUACCGGACUUGAGAGUGAUAGAGGAAGAUGGAAUUCCCGGUGUAGUGGUGAAAUGCGUAGAUAUCGGGAGGAACACCAGUGGCGAAAGCGAUCUUCUGGAUCAUUUCUGACGCUCAGACGCGAAAGCUAGGGUAGUAAACGGGAUUAGAGACCCCGGUAAUCCUAGCCGU